AAACCAUGAUAUGGGCGGUUUCAUCAUGUUCUUGUAUCUCUCUCACGUUUCAAAAAGAGAUUCAUCGACGGUCUGCCUAAAACAGGUCAUCUAGUUUCUCAACAU